UACGUAGGGGGCGAGCGUUGUCCGGAUUUAUUGGGCGUAAAGGGCGCGUAGGCGGCUCGGCACGUCCGUUGUGAAAUCGCCCGGCUCAACUGGGCGGGGUCGGCGGAUACGGCCGAGCUGGAGCAAGCUAGGGGGUAAUGGAAUUCCCGGUGUAGUGGUGGAAUGCGUAGAUAUCGGGGAGGAACACCAGUGGCGAAGGCGGUUACCUGGAGCUUUGCUGGACGCUGAUGCGCGAAAGCGUGGGG
rnacentral:rRNA from 1 species